GGCGGGGUUCUAUACAUGCAGUCGAGCGAAUGGAUUAAGAGCUUGCUCUUAUGAAGUUAGCGGCGGACGGGUGAGUAACACGUGGGUAACCUGCCCAUAAGACUGGGAUAACUCCGGGAAACCGGGGCUAAUACCGGAUAACAUUUUGAACCGCAUGGUUCGAAAUUGAAAGGCGGCUUCGGCUGUCACUUAUGGAUGGACCCGCGUCGCAUUAGCUAGUUGGUGAGGUAACGGCUCACCAAGGCAACGAUGCGUAGCCGACCUGAGAGGGUGAUCGGCCACACUGGGACUGAGACACGGCCCAGACUCCUACGGGAGGCAGCAGUAGGGAAUCUUCCGCAAUGGACGAAAGUCUGACGGAGCAACGCCGCGUGAGUGAUGAAGGCUUUCGGGUCGUAAAACUCUGUUGUUAGGGAAGAACAAGUGCUAGUUGAAUAAGCUGGCACCUUGACGGUACCUAACCAGAAAGCCACGGCUAACUACGUGCCAGCAGCCGCGGUAAUACGUAGGUGGCAAGCGUUAUCCGGAAUUAUUGGGCGUAAAGCGCGCGCAGGUGGUUUCUUAAGUCUGAUGUGAAAGCCCACGGCUCAACCGUGGAGGGUCAUUGGAAACUGGGAGACUUGAGUGCAGAAGAGGAAAGUGGAAUUCCAUGUGUAGCGGUGAAAUGCGUAGAGAUAUGGAGGAACACCAGUGGCGAAGGCGACUUUCUGGUCUGUAACUGACACUGAGGCGCGAAAGCGUGGGGAGCAAACAGGAUUAGAU
rnacentral:rRNA from 1 species